AGAGUUUGAUCCUGGCUCAGGAUGAACGCUAGCGACAGGCUUAACACAUGCAAGUCGAGGGGCAGCACAGGUAGCAAUACCGGGUGGCGACCGGCGCACGGGUGAGUAACGCGUAUGCAACUUACCUAUCAGAGGGGGAUAACCCGGCGAAAGUCGGACUAAUACCGCAUGAAGCAGGGGCCCCGCAUGGGGAUAUUUGCUAAAGAUUCAUCGCUGAUAGAUAGGCAUGCGUUCCAUUAGGCAGUUGGCGGGGUAACGGCCCACCAAACCGACGAUGGAUAGGGGUUCUGAGAGGAAGGUCCCCCACAUUGGUACUGAGACACGGACCAAACUCCUACGGGAGGCAGCAGUGAGGAAUAUUGGUCAAUGGGCGUAAGCCUGAACCAGCCAAGUCGCGUGAGGGAUGAAGGUUCUAUGGAUCGUAAACCUCUUUUAUAAGGGAAUAAAGUGCGGGACGUGUCCCGUUUUGUAUGUACCUUAUGAAUAAGGAU
rnacentral:rRNA from 1 species